GGUAGCUCAGUGGUAGAGCAAGCGGCUGUUAACCGCUAGGUCGUUGGUUCGAAUCCGACC
rnacentral:tRNA from 1 species